UGGGACGUAGCCAAGGGGUUUACGGCGUCGGGUUUUGAUCCCGAUACGCGAAGGUUCGAAUCCUUUCGUCCCAG
rnacentral:tRNA from 1 species